rnacentral:rRNA from 1 species
AUUGAACGCUGGCGGCAUGCCUUACACAUGCAAGUCGAACGGCAGCACGGGAGCAAUCCUGGUGGCGAGUGGCGAACGGGUGAGUAAAGUAUCGGAACGUGCCCAGUCGUGGGGGAUGACGUAGCGAAAGUUACGCUAAUACCGCAUACGAUCUAUGGAUGAAAGCGGGGGAUCGCAAGACCUCGCGCGAUUGGAGCGGCCGAUAUCAGAUUAGGUAGUUGGUGGGGUAAAGGCUCACCAAGGCGACGAUCUGUAGCUGGUCUGAGAGGACGAGCAGCCACGCUAGGACUGGGACACGGCCCAGACUCCUACGGGAGGCAGCAGUCGGGAAUUUUGGGCAAUGGGCGAAAGCCUGAUCCAGCCAUACCGCGUGCAGGAUGAAGGCCUUCGGGUUGUAAACUGCUUUUGUACGGAACGAAAAGGUUUGGCCUAAUAAGCUGAGCUCAUGACGGUACCGUAAGAAUAAGCACCGGCUAACUACGUGCCAGCCGCCGCAGUAA